rnacentral:rRNA from 1 species
GACGAACGCUGGCGGCGUGCUUAACACAUGCAAGUCGAGCGGAAAGGCCCUUUCGGGGGUACUCGAGCGGCGAACGGGUGAGUAACACGUGAGUAAUCUGCCCUUGGCUUUGGGAUAACUACCGGAAACGGUGGCUAAUACCGGAUACGACCAAUCACUGCAUGGUGUGUUGGUGGAAAGUUUUUUCGGCCAGGGAUGUGCUCGCGGCCUAUCAGCUUGUUGGUGGGGUAAUGGCCUACCAAGGCUCGACGGGUAGCCGGCCUGAGAGGGUGACCGGCCACACUGGGACUGAGACACGGCCCAGACUCCUACGGGAGGGCAGCAGUGGGGGAAUAUUGGGACAAUGGGGCGGAAGCCUGAUCCAGCAACGCCGCGUGAGGGAUGACGGCCUCGGUUGUACGUAC